rnacentral:lncRNA from 1 species
UGGUGAAUUGGGUUCUAUUGUAAAAAAUCUAUAUUAAGGACAAUUUUGAUUUUUAUUUAUGAGACUUUUAACAAUCUAUUUAUUUAAUUGAUUAUGUAAAACAAAAUAAAAAACUUAAGGUGUCACAUCAUCUUAUCUAUAUUUCUUCUUUAUAUCUAUUUUUAGUAAUGACAAAUAAAAGUAAACAAAUUGUGUAGUAAUUUAAACUA